rnacentral:rRNA from 1 species
GGUUAAGCGACUAAGCGUACACGGUGGAUGCCCUGGCAGUCAGAGGCGAUGAAGGGCGUGCUAAUCUGCGAUAAGCGCCGGUAAGGUGAUAUGAACCGUUAUAACCGGCGAUACCCGAAUGGGGAAACCCAGUGUGACUCGUCACACUAUCAUUAACUGAAUCCAUAGGUUAAUGAGGCGAACCGGGGGAACUGAAACAUCUAAGUACCCCGAGGAAAAGAAAUCAACCGAGAUUCCCCCAGUAGCGGCGAGCGAACGGGGAGGAGCCCAGAGCCUGAAUCAGCAUGUGUGUUAGUGGAAGCGUCUGGAAAGGCGCGCGAUACAGGGUGACAGCCCCGUACACAAAAGCGCAUGUGCUGUGAGCUCGAUGAGUAGGGCGGGACACGUGGUAUCCUGUCUGAAUAUGGGGGAAAUUCAUCCUCCAAGGCUAAAUACUCCUGACUGACCGAUAGUGAACCAGUACCGUGAGGGAAAGGCGAAAAGAACCCCGGCGAGGGGAGUGAAAAAGAACCUGAAACCGUGUACGUACAAGCAGUGGGAGCACAGGUUUACCUGUGUGACUGCGUACCUUUUGUAUAAUGGGUCAGCGACUUAUAUUCUGUAGCAAGGUUAACCGAAUAGGGGAGCCGGAGGGAAACCGAGUCUUAACCGGGCGUUAAGUUGCAGGGUAUAGACCCGAAACCCGGUGAUCUAGCCAUGGGCAGGUUGAAGGUUGGGUAACACUAACUGGAGGACCGAACCGACUAAUGUUGAAAAAUUAGCGGAUGACCUGUGGCUGGGGGUGAAAGGCCAAUCAAACCGGGAGAUAGCUGGUUCUCCCCGAAAGCUAUUUAGGUAGCGCCUCGUGAAUUCAUCUCCGGGGGUAGAGCACUGUUUCGGCUAGGGGGCCAUCCCGGCUUACCAACCCGAUGCAAACUGCGAAUACCGGAGAAUGUUAUCACGGGAGACACACGGCGGGUGCUAACGUCCGUCGUGAAGAGGGAAACAACCCAGACCGCCAGCUAAGGUCCCAAAGUCAUGGUUAAGUGGGAAACGAUGUGGGAAGGCCCAGACAGCCAGGAUGUUGGCUUAGAAGCAGCCAUCAUUUAAAGAAAGCGUAAUAGCUCACUGGUCGAGUCGGCCUGCGCGGAAGAUGUAACGGGGCUAAACCAUGCACCGAAGCUGCGGCAGCGAACGUAUCACUUAAAGCGAUUCAGCGGGUUACGAUUGACGGAGCGAAGCGACGUCAAAGCGUAUACAAAGUCGAGUCGGUUUAAGGAUACGUUCGUUGGGUAGGGGAGCGUUCUGUAAGCCUGUGAAGGUGUGUCGUGAGGCAUGCUGGAGGUAUCAGAAGUGCGAAUGCUGACAUAAGUAACGAUAAAGCGGGUGAAAAGCCCGCUCGCCGGAAGACCAAGGGUUCCUGUCCAACGUUAAUCGGGGCAGGGUGAGUCGACCCCUAAGGCGAGGCCGAAAGGCGUAGUCGAUGGGAAACGGGUUAAUAUUCCCGUACUUGGUGUUACUGCGAAGGGGGGACGGAGAAGGCUAUGUUGGCCGGGCGACGGUUGUCCCGGUUUAAGCGUGUAGGCUGGUUUUCCAGGCAAAUCCGGAAAAUCAAGGCUGAGGCGUGAUGACGAGGCACUACGGUGCUGAAGCAACAAAUGCCCUGCUUCCAGGAAAAGCCUCUAAGCAUCAGGUAACAUCAAAUCGUACCCCAAACCGACACAGGUGGUCAGGUAGAGAAUACCAAGGCGCUUGAGAGAACUCGGGUGAAGGAACUAGGCAAAAUGGUGCCGUAACUUCGGGAGAAGGCACGCUGACACGUAGGUGAAGUGAUUUACUCAUGGAGCUGAAGUCAGUCGAAGAUACCAGCUGGCUGCAACUGUUUAUUAAAAACACAGCACUGUGCAAACACGAAAGUGGACGUAUACGGUGUGACGCCUGCCCGGUGCCGGAAGGUUAAUUGAUGGGGUCAGCGCAAGCGAAGCUCCUGAUCGAAGCCCCGGUAAACGGCGGCCGUAACUAUAACGGUCCUAAGGUAGCGAAAUUCCUUGUCGGGUAAGUUCCGACCUGCACGAAUGGCGUAAUGAUGGCCAGGCUGUCUCCACCCGAGACUCAGUGAAAUUGAACUCGCUGUGAAGAUGCAGUGUACCCGCGGCAAGACGGAAAGACCCCGUGAACCUUUACUAUAGCUUGACACUGAACAUUGAGCCUUGAUGUGUAGGAUAGGUGGGAGGCUUUGAAGCGUGGACGCCAGUCUGCGUGGAGCCGACCUUGAAAUACCACCCUUUAAUGUUUGAUGUUCUAACGUGGACCCGUGAUCCGGGUUGCGGACAGUGUCUGGUGGGUAGUUUGACUGGGGCGGUCUCCUCCUAAAGAGUAACGGAGGAGCACGAAGGUUGGCUAAUCCUGGUCGGACAUCAGGAGGUUAGUGCAAUGGCAUAAGCCAGCUUGACUGCGAGCGUGACGGCGCGAGCAGGUGCGAAAGCAGGUCAUAGUGAUCCGGUGGUUCUGAAUGGAAGGGCCAUCGCUCAACGGAUAAAAGGUACUCCGGGGAUAACAGGCUGAUACCGCCCAAGAGUUCAUAUCGACGGCGGUGUUUGGCACCUCGAUGUCGGCUCAUCACAUCCUGGGGCUGAAGUAGGUCCCCAAGGGUAUGGCUGUUCGCCAUUUAAAGUGGUACGCGAGCUGGGUUUAGAACGUCGUGAGACAGUUCGGUCCCUAUCUGCCGUGGGCGCUGGAGAACUGAGGGGGGCUGCUCCUAGUACGAGAGGACCGGAGUGGACGCAUCACUGGUGUUCGGGUUGUCAUGCCAAUGGCACUGCCCGGUAGCUAAAUGCGGAAGAGAUAAGUGCUGAAAGCAUCUAAGCACGAAACUUGCCCCGAGAUGAGUUCUCCCUGAGACUUAAAGUCUCCUGAAGGAACGUUGAAGACGACGACGUUGAUAGGCCGGGUGUGUAAGCGCAGCGAUGCGUUGAGCUAACCGGUACUAAUGAACCGUGAGGCUUAACCUU